rnacentral:rRNA from 1 species
UACAGAGGGUGCAAGCGUUAAUCGGAAUUACUGGGCGUAAAGCGUGCGUAGACGGUUAUGUAAGUCGGGUGUGAAAGCCCCGGGCUCAACCUGGGAAUGCCAUUCGAGACUGCAUAGCUAGGGUGCGGAAGAGGGAAGCGGAAUUUCCGGUGUAGCGGUGGAAUGCGCAGAUAUCAGGAGGAACACCAAUGGCGAAGGCAGCUCGCUGGGACGUUACUGACGCUGAGACGCGAAAGCGUGGGGAGCAAACAGG